GUUUUUUCUGAGCUGUUGUUAUCUACAGAGGAGUAUAAUCACGUGAUCUUUACUAUCAACUACUUAGAAUACAAAAGUCAAUAAGAUUUGGGUUGAGGGAAAAUGUUCAGAUGUUCAGGUGGAAAGUAUUUAGAGUGACUCAUUGAAACACAUCUAUUUGAAGCCACUACUACGUAUUAAAUAGCGUGUUUAAUUGGGCUGAGCGGCGGAAUCACUUAUCUCCACAUGAUUAAGCAGCAUUAGCAAUACCUUUAUGGUGGAUGGAAAUAGAGCCUCUCGGGUACUAUUUGUAGAUCCCCUUCCGUAGCUGCACAUGCGACAGAGGCCUGCUGACCACCCCUGGCCUCUUUGCAGGUGUUCUGUAGGACCAGUUUGCCUGCAGAAGCAACACCGUCUGGGCCCAUCUUCCCACAGUGCUGGCCCAGUUCUAGAGUGAGGGGUGCUGACAUGGAACCCAAGGGCCUCAGCUGGACCCCCACUCCAUUUCCUAGACAGAUGACCUUGUGACACAGAUGACCUAACUGUGACAUGGAACCAUGACAGAAUCUAUCGAUAGCAUCUCAUGACAGUGUCCGACACACAGUGAGGACUCAGUGAAAACCCAUGAUAAUAAUGUCGUCCUUGUCAUCACCAAAGCAAAUAGAUCUCCAGGCCUCAGGUUCUUUAUGUGACAGGAGACGUGUGGAAAUGGAC
rnacentral:lncRNA from 1 species